CGUGUAGGCGGCUUGCUAAGUCUUGCGUGAAAUCUCGGGGCUCAACCCCGAGCGGUCGUGAGAAACUGGCAGGCUAGAGUGCGGGAGAGGAGAGUGGAAUUCCUGGUGUAGCGGUGAAAUGCGCAGAUAUCAGGAAGAACACCCGUAGCGAAGGCGGCUCUCUGGAACGCAACUGACGCUGAGACGCGAAAGCGUGGGAGCAAACA
rnacentral:rRNA from 1 species